AGACAAAGACAAAGCCGUGAAAGCCCAGGGUGAACCCUCGUCAAGACCUCGUUGUUUGGGUGCUUUGCGUUCACCAGAAAAAAGUGAAUCUACAAAAAGAAAGAAAACAGCUUAAUCAUUAGCUACAAAGAAACCUUGCAUGGGUAAUCCUAAUAAUAGUGUUAGUUCUCCUUCUGCAAAUGUGUUUUCAACUGCAUUGGAAAGUGAUAUUACCCAACUUGAUGAUAGGUUUGAUGUUUCCCGUCAAGAAAAGCUUGCACAAAGUGGUGAACAGUUGUUGAAAAUGAUUGUUGAUGUAGCAACUAUUUUUAAUGAUAUUCCUCAAGCUGCUACCCAGAAAAUGAAAACGCAAAGGGUGCUUCUUGGGCAGAAAGAAUGGAAAACAUGGAUUCUUUGUGGGAGGGAGUCAGAGAAUCUGUUCACAUCAAUUUUCUUUCAAAGCAGGCUUAUCCAUUGGUCAUUCAGUGUGAUAACUGCUCGCAGUCACUUUCUGGAGGGAGAGCUAUCAGGUGUUUGACAUUCAAAAAACAUUAUUGUGGGGACUGUGAUUUUUCCUUUCAUGCCCAGAAACCAUUUCAUAAUCGAUGGUUAGUUUCCAGCAAUAGUUGGUACUCCUUGAAAACAAUGGAAUUUGUGGAUUACACUGGGAAACUCGUAGAGAAAGAUGUUCCAGUCCCCUGUUUUGACUAUGCAAGAUUUUGAACGAGGUUAUUUUCCUUGGCUUCUUGUAGAAGGUAAACUUGACAUGUAUAUACAUUGCGCAAUAUUGUAUUAAUGUGUAAAUGUAUUUCUUGUACGUUAAAGGUUCGUGGCGGGAAGAGAUUUCUUUCUAUGAAAGUAGGUUACAAGACAGUAUUUUUGAAUAAGUUUUCUUUUUAA